rnacentral:lncRNA from 1 species
GCGGAACUAUAAUACAUAAAUACCUAGAAAGUUUACGAACAAGAUAGUUUGGUAAUCGGCAAAUGGUAACGGAAAUUCAAUGUCAAAACUGAUAACGUAUCUCUCGAGAAGUAAUUCUCUAAAUACAACUUGUUAUGGAACUAACAAGCCAACAUUAUACGGAAAUAGUCUGGUUAUUUCUGAUUAUUCAAUCGCUUGGAAUUAGCGUGUGUCACUUGCCCAGGGUAAAGUCGUACUGAAGCCUCUUAUCGGUUUUCUCCACCGUAUUUAUACUUAGGUAAACCAUUACCGAAAUGGUUUACAAUUUACCAUUUCGGCUUACCAUUUCCGCUUACCAUUUACCUAAAUUACCAAACCCAGAGCCGACGUCAUAGAAAAAUUAGGUUAUGACGUCAUUGGUGAACGUCAUUUAAAGUAAACAAUUCACAGCUGUUUCGUUUGUAAAAACAUGGACAAGAAUAAUAAAAAGUUAACAAACAUAGUUACAC